AUUCACACACUAGUGGUUUCCUCAAGUCCUUUCUGAGAAAAUGUGCUAGUGGCAUGCCCCGAACAUGGAUUGGUGCUCAUGAUGCAAUUAAGAAUAAUGUCUGGUUUGGAAUGAUGGCUCAAAGUUUGACUACAGUGACUGGCUUACUGGUGAGCCAAAUGAUAAUGGAGGAAACGAAAAUUGUGUGGAGCUGGCCUAUGGAGCUGAGCAACGCUGGAAUGAUCUGGACUGUGCCACUCCUCUCAAUUUCAUCUGUUUGAUUUCUCUUCCUGCUUGUUAAUCUCGUCUGUCCAUCACCCGAGAGGAUUUGGUUUUUGGAUUAGUCUUAGUCUCUGCAAAAAAUAAAAGUGAGGUGGACUUUAAACCGCAAAUGUAUGUUUUGAACUUGUCUCUUUCUUGAGGGUGUUGUUAAACUCUAAAACUGACCCUUUG
ensembl:lncRNA